GGCUCCCUCCUCCGCCCCCGCCUCCUCCUAGCGGCUGGCAGCGGACGCCUCGGGCUGGGCAGCCCCCCGGGAAGGGUCUCUGAGCCGAGCCCCCGCCGGCUUCUGCUCGGACCUGAGCCUCGUGGGGAACGUUUGCCACCAGCCCAGAACAGCACCCGUGGGGGCACAAGAGGUGACCAGAGGCAGCAGAGCCACGAGGGGCCUCGGCGGAGUCCUCCUCGUCCCCGCUGCCACCCGCCACAGCAAACGCCUUCCUCGGGGUCAUCGGCUGCUAGAGAACAAACCCAGGGCAAGGGGCUUCCCUUCUGACCUGCUGCUCCCUCAGCAAAGCCCCGACACAUUGUCAAUUCACGUUCAUCUGAUUACCGUCCCCACCCAAGCUGCACUUGUGCAUCACAGUCUGUUUGCUGCUUUGGAUGCAGUACAAACCCAGGAGGCUGACGGGAAGCGACUCAGCAGUAUGGAAAGGAGCUGGAUGCUACUGCAAAAUUUCAGCUGAACUGGAGCCGACAGUGAUGUGCCCGUGUGGAAGAGGUGAAUGUUGCGGUAUGAGAACUGGUACAGAAAUGUGCCAUCGUGUGCAGCCUGUGCAGGGCUGGUGUGGCACCGGGUGGAGGAUCUGGCCUAGUUCUGGCAGUGGAGGGGACGUGGGUCAGUUGGAGACGGCGCAGAGGGAGCACAAGGAGGGAUGAGAUGGUGCAGAAGCACAGCCUAUGAGCAAAGGCUGAAAGAGGGAACGACUCACCCCAGAGAAGUAAAGACUUGGGGAGAGCCACAGCAACAUGCUCCAGUUAGAUAAAAGGCAGGACAGGACAAGAAGCAAUGGGAUUAAACUGCCACAGGGAAAUUCAGGUUAGACAAAAAGGAAAAGCGCUUAACACUAUGGAUGGUGAAGCAGCGGACCAGGCUGCCAGGGAGGGCAGAGACAUCCCAGCACGGACAGGGCAGCUCAGGCACUGUGUUGGGUGCGAUGGAGGGAGCAGAGCCUCUCCUGGGCUCCAGGCAGGCUGGAUGUCUCAGCACGGCUGCUCCGUCCUGCUUUGCUAACUCCUGGGUGCUCUGGAGUCACGUAACUCUGCCAUGGACUGGUACGGCUUGUCAGUACCCGUGAAACCAGCAGCUUCGCAAACUUCACAAUGACGGUGAAAGUUAUGAGGGAAAUUGAAGGGGAAAACCCAACAGCUUCUGAGUGGAAAAUCAGCAGUUUCAGAAGAACUUACAAUAGGGCAAGAAAGCUGGUACUGCACAGUCGAGAAAAUGUAACUUUGGCUGAAAGCCAAUCCUCAAAGUUGGUAACCUGAAAACAGCCACUGGAGGCAAAAUGACAAUAUAUAUGAAGAGGAAGAAAGUAAUAGAUACCAAUCAAUAUGUAGUGAUCACCAAAGUGAGUUAUGAAGCAGAGAUAUUGGUAGGGGAAGGUAGACAGAGCAGAAUCCAUGGCUGGCAAAGCCAUGAGCAGUAACAAGUUGUUCUCUGUUAGAAACAAGAGAAGCGUUAAUGAGUUUGCAGGUCUGUGUCAUAGACGUAGAGAAGCAUAAGAAGAUUUUGGCCAGGAACAGCCUCUGGGUGUCUCCAGUCUGAUUUCCUGCUUAGGGCAGGUGUUGGCAUGACACCGCCUCGCUCAGGGCUCACCCAGUCGAACUUUGAAACCCCCCGAGCCCGGAGGAGCCGUGGCAUUUCUAGAUGAAGAGGUGCAUUGCCAGUGACAAGGCACACACUGCCUCUCUGCUGCCUUUAGUAAGGAUGGGAACGUAAGGCACAAAGAUGAUGAACUACUCUCUGGUCUACCAACACCGGAGAGCAUCGCAGAUGACAUCCGUGGGGUUUCUGAAUCAGCAGACCCACACGGUUUGCACCUGAGGGCAGUGUGCUAAGCUGAGCUCGCUCCGUUCACUCACUUCUGAAAAGCCCAAAGCCUGGGGACGCGCCGAGUUUGGCAGGAACCAACGUGGUGCUCGGCGGGUGAAACGGGCGCCCUGGUUAACUAUCGGUUGGUCCAGCAUGACGUUCAGAUUGAAAAAUGGAGAGGACAUGCAGGAUUCAAUUAAUAUCGAACUCAAGGAUUAAAAAUACACUCCGUGUGGUCUAAUGGAAAAUGUCUUGUCAAAUGAGCCUCGUCUCAUCCUUUGAGAAAAUUGUGAGUUUGUAGAUAAAGGUUACCAUGUAGCCAUUAUUUGCUUAGCUUUUGGCAAUGUGUUUGACUUAAUAUCAUAUGACAUCCUAAUUACAAAUUUAGCUCUAUACAAUCUUGAUAAAACCCUCAUUAAAUGGAUGGAGAGCUGCAAACCCAUCUCCAAACAAGGAGUCAUCAGUGAACAGAGAUGAUGUAGAGGGAUUCUGCAGGAUUUGGUCCCAGCCUGACACUAAUCAAUGUUUUCAUCAUUGAUUGAGAAAUGAGCACAAAACACAGCUGAUGAAUUAUACAGCUGCUGGAAGCAGAAGGACUGGCAGUGAAUAAUUACAACAGCGAAGUUGUAUAGAGCAACUGGGAUCAUCUCUGUGCAUGAACCCAUUUUCACUUGGCAGUAUUAAAAUAGGCCAGCUUUCAAACGGCAACGAGGGAGAUGUUUCAUCCAAAAAAGCUAUGAUGCAAAAAAAUCUAGACAUCAUUAGGGGAGGGAAUUGCUUUUGCAGUACUCCAGCAACACGGCUCUGGCCCCAGGUACAGAAACCAGAGGUGGAGGAUGAGAAAAGCAGGACUGUGCUGCCCGUGCUUUUCUGCAGCA